AUUGAACGCUGGCGGCAUGCCUUACACAUGCAAGUCGAACGGCAGCACGGGAGCAAUCCUGGUGGCGAGUGGCGAACGGGUGAGUAAUACAUCGGAACGUGCCCAGUAGUGGGGGAUAGCCCGGCGAAAGCCGGAUUAAUACCGCAUACGACCUGAGGGUGAAAGCGGGGGAUCGCAAGACCUCGCGCUAUUGGAGCGGCCGAUGUCGGAUUAGCUAGUUGGUGGGGUAAAGGCCUACCAAGGCUACGAUCCGUAGCUGGUCUGAGAGGACGACCAGCCACACGGGGAGGGGGAAACGGCCCAGACUCCGACGGGAGGCAGCAGAGGGGAAUUUUGGACAAUGGGGGCAACCCUGAUCCAGCCAUGCCGCGUGCGGGAAGAAGGCCUUCGGGUUGUAAACCGCGUUUGUCAGGGAAGAAAUGCUCUGGGCUAAUACCCCGGAGUGAUGACGGUACCUGAAGAAUAAGCACCGGCUAACUACGUGCCAGCCGCCGCCGUAAAAC
rnacentral:rRNA from 1 species